ACUGGGGUGGCAGAGUUCGGCUAAUGCAAAAGACCUAAGCUCUUUGUACGGGGGUUCAAAUCCUCCCCCCAAUA
rnacentral:tRNA from 1 species